rnacentral:ncRNA from 1 species
CUUGCUGGUGGCGGCCGAGCGUUCAUAGCGAUGCUGCUUUUUGAUCCUUCGAUGUCAGCUCUUCCUAUCGUUGCGAAGCAGAAUUCACAAUGUUGGAUUGUUCACCUGCUGAUAGGGAACGUGAGCUGGGUUUAGACCAUCACGAGACAGGCU